CUUAGUAUAGCUAGGUUAGUGCUGAGUUCUUACCUCAGUGACAUGGGGUUUCCCAUUGCUAAGG
rnacentral:tRNA from 1 species